rnacentral:rRNA from 1 species
CAAUAGCGUAUAUUAAAGUUGUUGCGGUUAAAAAGCUCGUAGUUGGAUUUCUGCUGAGGACGAUCGGUCCGCCCUCUGGGUGAGUAUCUGGCUCGGCCUUGGCAUCUUCUUGGAGAACGUUACUGCACUUGACUGUGUGGUGCGGUAUCCAGGACUUUUACUUUGAGGAAAUUAGAGUGUUUCAAGCAGGCGCACGCCUUGAAUACAUUAGCAUGGAAUAAUAAGAUAGGACCUUGGUUCUAUUUUGUUGGUUUCUAGAGCUGAGGUAAUGAUUAAUAGGGAUAGUUGGGGGCAUUCGUAUUUAACUGUCAGAGGUGAAAUUCUUGGAUUUGUCAAAGACGGACUACUGCGAAAGCAUUUGCCAAGGAUGUUUUCAUUGA